CGGGAAAUAGCUCUGAUAGCAGAGCAGCGGCCUUAUAAGCCGUGUGUCAGGGGUUCAAUUCCUCUUUUCCCGA
rnacentral:tRNA from 1 species